AUUCCCCUGCUUUGCCUAAGUUCUGCGUUCCACGCGGGGCACUUUGUAGGCAAAGCGAGGGAUU
rnacentral:sRNA from 12 species